UGGGGAAUCUUGCGCAAUGGGCGAAAGCCUGACGCAGCAACGCCGCGUGGAGGAUGAAGGCCCUUGGGUUGUAAACUCCUGUCGGCUGGGAAGAAAUCGUACGGUGCUCAUACCACCGUGCGUUGACUGUACCAGCAAAGGAAGCCCCGGCUACCUCUGUGCCCGCAGCCGCGGUAAUACAGAGGGGGCUAGCGUUAUUCGGAAUUAUUGGGCGUAAAGGGCGCGUAGGCGGCCAUGCGUGUCUUCCGUGAAAUCCCUCGGCUUAACUGAGGACGUGCGGAAGAAACUGCAAGGCUCGAGUCCGGGAGAGGGGGGUGGAAUUCCCAGUGUAGCGGUGAAAUGCGUAGAUAUUGGGAGGAACACCGGUGGCGAAGGCGGCCCCCUGGACCGGUACUGACGCUGAGGCGCGAAAGCGUGGGUAGCAAAC
rnacentral:rRNA from 1 species